GAUGAACGCUGGCGGCGUGCUUAACACAUGCAAGUCGAACGGGAAACCUUUUAUUGAAGCUUCGGCAGAUUUAGCUGGUUUCUAGUGGCGGACGGGUGAGUAGCGCGUGGGUAACCUGCCUUAUACAGGGGGAUAACAACCAGAAAUGGUUGCUAAUACCGCAUAAGCGCACAGGACCGCAUGGUCCGGUGUGAAAAACUCCGGUGGUAUAAGAUGGACCCGCGUUGGAUUAGCUAGUUGGCAGGGUAACGGCCUACCAAGGCGACGAUCCAUAGCCGGCCUGAGCGGGUGAGCGGCCACAUUGGGACUGAGACACGGCCCAGACUCCUACGGGAGGCAGCAGUGGGGAAUAUUGCACAAUGGGGCAAACCCUGAUGCAGCGACGCCGCGUGAAGGAAGAAGUAUCUCGGAAUGUAAACUUCUAUCAGCAGGGAAGAUAGUGACGGUACCUGACUAAGAAGCCCCGGCUAACUACGUG
rnacentral:rRNA from 1 species